rnacentral:rRNA from 1 species
GAGUUUGAUCCUGGCUCAGGACGAACGCUGGCGGCGUGCCUAACACAUGCAAGUCGAACGGGGUUGAGUGCUUCGGUAUUCAACCUAGUGGCGAACGGGUGAGUAACGCGUGAAGAACCUGCCUUUCAGUGGGGGACAACAGUUGGAAACGACUGCUAAUACCGCAUGACACUUCUGAGUGGCAUCACUUAGAAGUCAAAGCUUUAUGUGCUGAAAGAUGGCUUCGCGUCUGAUUAGCUAGUUGGCGGGUAACGGCCCACCAAGGCGACGAUCAGUAGCCGGUCUGAGAGGAUGAACGGCCACAUUGGGACUGAGAUACGGCCCAGACUCCUACGGGAGGCAGCAGUGGGGAAUAUUGGGCAAUGGGGGAAACCCUGACCCAGCAACGCCGCGUGAAGGAAGAAGGCCUU